rnacentral:lncRNA from 1 species
CUCACUUCAGAAGUAUUUUUGUUUGAAAGAUGAGAGGAAAAGCUUCAAUUGAGAUUCAGUCCUAUUACUCCAAUUUUAAGCCUCUCAUGUUGCUGAGGCUGAGCAGGUAAAUGUGAAAUUUUUAAGGAUGAAAGGGUCUUGAGAGUUAAUAGAAUGUGUCUUCUACAUAAUAGGCAUUCAGCUUACAUGUGAUAAAUGGAUUCAAAGAAUGGAUAAAUAUAGUUGGGAAGUUCAAUAUCUUAAAAAACUGCUAUAAAUAAAGCACUUAUAUUUGCUACUUUAUUUUCCUAAUAACAAAACUACACUAAAAUGAUUAAUCUGUAAUUAUUGACAUAUAUAUAAUAAAUCUAGAUAUAAUAAAAAUAUGUUUCUAAUAAAAUGUACAUGUAAAUCAACAAGCACAGAUAAAAAGUUUCUCUUCUGAAAAUGCUAAAAGUUCACAGAAUAUACUAAUCCACAAAAAAUAAAAAUUAAAAUAUAGAAAGUGAAAAAUUAUUUUAAUCUGUGCAAAAUUCAUAUUCCUGCUCUUCCCCAAAAUUAUUUCAUUAAUAAUAAACUUUUACUAAUAACAUUGUACUUGUUCAAUGCAGAAAUCAAAGAUAAUAAAAAGGAAAAACAUUUUAUAUUAAAACAAAUGCCCUCAAAUAACAAAUUUUAUCAUAUUUCGUACAUAAUUUCAGAUAACACAAGACCAUCAUCUGUAUGUAUAAACAAACUGAACUUUACCCUUACUUGGUACACCAAAAUACAUUUUCAAAUGUCAACAUACUUCUGUAUAUGUUUCUACAUUCAGUGGUCACAUUUUAUCCCACGCUGUAAAUUCACUGAAAUGUAUUUAUAAAAGCCAUUGUAUGGAUUCUUCUUAAUACACUGAUAUUUUAAGCAGCGCUCAAAAAAGAAAUUGUGUGUAUGUUUCCUUAUUUUCUAAAAAUAUCUUAAUGUAAUAGAAUUGAUCACCAACAGGCAUAUACAAUUUUUUAAAUAUGGUACUUACCACCAAAUUGUCUAUUUGAAAAGUCAUCUGCAACUUAAACUUUAAGCAGCAGUAUAAAUAUCACUGCUCUUUAUCCUCAUAAACUUUGUGGAUAGAAAACAGUAUUUGAUUCCUGUUUUAACUUAAAUGCCUUCUCUAACGAGGAACACUAAAUAUUG